GACAGAGGUGCCAAGCGUUAGGCGGAAUCACUGGGCUUAAAGCGUGUGUAGGCGGACUUCUAAGUACCUUGUGAAAUCCCACGGCUCAACCGUGGAACUGCUUGGUAUACUGGUUGUCUUGAGCCACUUAGGGGCUACCGGAACAAAUGGUGGAGCGGUGAAAUGCGUAGAUAUCAUUUGGAACGCCAAUGGUGAAAACAGGUAGCUGGGAGUGUGCUGACGCUGAGACACGAAAGCCAGGGGAGCGAACGGG
rnacentral:rRNA from 1 species